CCGAAUCUGGAUGAUUAGGUUUUGUAAAUUUAGGGGCGAUGCGGCUGCGGGGAGCAGAAUAAAAGAGUUUAAAACUUUACAAUUCACCAAACGAUCAUCGAGGCUGUUUUAAUAGGACUUUGACUUCUGAGCGUAAAUUUUAUGUGAUGCGUCCCUAACAUUAAAACUUGCGGCUGCGGAGCGUUCCUUUGGUAGAAACAAAAUUCGGUAACUGGGGGUUUCAGAAUUUUGUAGUUAGGUAUCUGUGGUAUCCGAUUAACGUACCUGCAGGAACAAAGCCAUUUAUCUGGAGUCCAAGAAACAAUAUUUUUUCGCCUACUUUUGAAGAUCGCACAUAGCUGAGUUCUUAAACGUUCUAAAAAGAACUUGUGUGUGUGUGUGUAGAUGCAAGAAAGUAUGCAUGUAGACAUGAACCAUAAAGCAUUCUUACAAGUGUUGUGUCCCAGUAUAUGAAGUCUACAGAAUGGUAAACUGAUUAGGAGGUUGAGAUUAUUAUGGAGAUAAUGUGUUGCAUGCCAACUAAGAUUCUGAUAGUGAAACCGAAUGUUGGGGAGGAUUUAAUUUAGUGAGGGUAAGCCUUCAUUGUCCACUUGUGAAAAGGGAACGUUUAAAAUGAAGACCAUGCAAAUCAAUGCAAAACACAAGAUUUUACUCUUAGCACAGUUGUAUGGGGGCAACCCACCUGAAUUGCAGUAAGCUGAAAAUUGCCUUCACACCUGAGGAUAAUUGCAUUUUAUUUUAACCUAUUAUUUUGGCAAGUGUUAUUUACAUGCUAGUUCUUUACAACUACUGACCUUCCUCCUUCCUUUUCAAAGAGAUGGAGACUUGAAUUGAGUUCCAGUUUUUUCUUGAAUCUUUCGGGCUCCUUUGCCAUUUAUUUUCCCUACCACUGAAAUAAAAUUUAAAAAAUGACCAGUGUGCUUCUAAGGAGUUGCUGUAUCUAAUUCACCUAACACACCAAUUACUUCAGAAACCUUUCUCUAUUUCACUUAGAUGGGCAAUCUGUUUAUUUCUAAGGGUACGGAUGUAUUGUGUGGAACCAUCUUUCUCUGUUCACCCCAUUGAGAACACUUGCCAAAUGGAAAGGUUAUUAACAAGGCAAACCAAAGGCUUUUUGGCUUCUGGUGGGUAGCAAAAAAAGAGGUUUAUAUGUUCCAAAACCAUAACGUACUUGAUAAAAUUGAGAGAAAUGUCAAAUUUCUUUUACUUAACCCAUCUCGGCCUCACUGCCACCAGGACUGAGGUGUCGGCCCUGUUCCUGGGGCGCCUUAAUGUGUGAGGUGUGCAAGCACAGAACCACAGGUGAACUUAGUGCAGUUACUGCCUCUUACCUGUUCUGUUGCCCUGACAAUGUCCCUUUUCAGGUGGGAAUGGCAUGUGGCUUGAUGACGUGUAAGUUUUGGCAGGACAGUUGUUUUAAAACUAAGUGGACAGUUAGGAAGAUUUCAGAACCCAACUCGUAGAAGAGGUGGAGUGUAAAGACAGAUACGCCAUGAAGAGAGAAGGUUUAUAAUGUUAAAAAUUCAGGAAAAGAAAGUAAAUAGGCCUUGAAUGAUCCAGGUAAUUUUGCCCUAAUUCCCUGUUUUGAGUUUGUUUUGUUUUUGAUAAACUCUAACCUCUUUUUUUUUUUCUUUCUUUCUUUCUAACCCUGAAAACCACAAGUAAAAUAAAUAUGGUAUUUGGUGAGUCCCAUUAAUGUGCUCAGCAUUAUACAAAACCACCGCACUGGACCCUUUCCCUGCCCACCCAGCGAUCAGCAAUUUGUUCUCCAACACAUUUAAAAGCCUUGGCUGAAGACUCUCAUAAACAGAACACACACAUAUAAAAUGUAUAUACACAUAAUGACAAGAGAGGGGAAAAAUGUGUUUUGUUGUUUCUGGUGGCCAUUGAGAUGGCUUGGAAAAGCAAGUCCAAUCAUCAUUAAGAGAAAAUAGUUUAUUUCCUAGAACAUAAGGGUAAUUUAGGCUUUCUCUACCACUUUAGAGAAUCCAAGGGGUUUUUUUUCUAUUUUUUUAAAUGCGUUCCUCUUCUCUUCCAGUAUACGUUAGCCCUGUUUGAGAGCUUUUAAAGCUUACUCUAAAAUAAGUGACGCCGAAACACUUACUUGGUUCCGACUGUGUAGACUGAACGGUCCAGGAUUUAGGAGAAUUUUUGCAGCUUUUUGGGGUUGGAAGUUUGAGAACUUGGACAGGACAUAGACUUCUGCUUUGGAUAGUAUUUAAAGCUUUGAGGAAAAAUUCUUUUUCAGCUUUGGCUAGCUGUGACAGAGAUAAUACAUCUGGCUUUCUGGAUUAUAGUGUGCUAUACAUGUGUAUUUCUCUGCAAGAUGUCCCAUUAAAGAAAAGCCAGUUAUCAAAAUCUUACUGGGAUCUGAGAUUUGUAAGGCUUAUGGAUAGGGCGUUAGGUAAUUUCUUAUAUCAUUUUUCAGUUAGUAAAAUAAUUCCUAGAAUUUGCAUGUAAUUUUGGACUAGGUAAUAUUGUCUUUAAACAUCUUUGGCAGUUUAUACUGGACUAGACUUUAUUAAAGUUAAUGUAUAUAUAAUAGACUCAAUUAUUUGUCUUGAGUUUUUAUAUAUCAAGACUUUAUCUGGUAGUAAAUAGAAAUUUUUGAUCACUUAACUUUCAAAAUAGGUUUUGUUUUUGUUUUUGAAAUCAGAUAAAUCUGUAAUUUGGUUUUAUUUUUACUUUUAUCCAGGUCAUGUAGUAUUUUUCAGACUGAUCACAAAUCCUUUCUAAAAGGUGUUUUAUUAUGUUGAGUCCCUAGUGUCAAAGAGCAAUUUUUCCUUAAAUUGAUCUGAACUUGUACUUAAAACUAGAAAAGCAAAAAACUUGGCGUUGUUGGAUAAAUGACUGAAAAGAUGUUUGGCAGAUGUUGGGCAGGAAUCCUGUAAAGUUGGUUCUUUACAAGCGAAUACAAAUCUUUACCUCUUUCCUUUUAAAGUGCUUAGUGGAGCGCCUGACUGGCUCAGUCAGAAGAGCUUGGAACCCUUGAUCACGGGGUCGUGAGUUCAAGCCCCACGUUGAGUAUAGAAAUUACUUAAAAAAAUACCUUAAAAAGAAAGUGCUUAGUAAUCUUGCCCAAAUAUUGGGGACAUGAAGGAAAACUUGUUCCUCUAAUUGGCACACAGAAAGGGUAUCAUAUCAGUGUGUGGCAACCUCAGGUUUUCAAUCAGGUGUUAAGAUUAGUCUACGUUAUGACUUGGACAAAGUGCAGAAUGGUUUUAUAUAGUUUAUCCACAUUUGGAGUCUGUUACUUCAAAUCAGAUCUAAUGCAGCCCUGGAAUAGGGUUUGGUGAUAGUGUUUUAAAUGAAAACAUGAAGAUUUCCUAGUAAAGUGUCCGUGAACAUCGCAAAUAUAGCAUGCACUUCUGAAUUACUAUUUUUCCAGAAGUGGUCUUAAAAUUUCUCUCCUACACCCUCGUGCUCUUGUGCAGUCUUUGUUUCCAUGGCAUUUGUUUGUUGGAUGGAUCAUUUGAUAGGGUAGAGAUUUGAUAGGGUAGAGAUUUGAUAGGGUAGAGAUUUGAUAGGGUAGAGAGAUGAUUUUCAUAGGCUCAGGGUAAUUUGUGCUUCGAGGACAGUGUUCAGUGUUGGUGAUGGUGCAGUAAGUGGGCACGUGCGGAUUUGCAGCAGUGAUACAAACCCAUGCAGCUUUCUGGAGGACUUUGGUGUUCCAUGUCAAAAUAUGUUCAUCAAUUUGUUACUUACGGUAGGGAACAUUCUUAAAGAUUCUUCUAUGUCUUAUCCAAGGAGAUUGCUAAGUAAGUCACGGUAUAAUUUCUGAAAGAGAAUAUUAGGUAGCCAUGAAAAGCAAUGUUUUUAAAGAAUAUAUAUGUAUAUGCAGAUUUAUUUAUUUAUUUAUUUAUUUAUUUAUUUAUUUGGUGGCUCAAAGCAACAAGUGCAUUCUUACAGUUCUAGUGGCCAGAAAUGUGGAAUUAGUUUGUCCGCAUUGCCACACUCCCUCUGAAGGCAGUAUGGGAGAAACUGUCUUUUUCUUCCAGCUUCUGACUACAUUUUAAUUUUUUUUUUUUUUGUUUUAAGUAGGCUUCAUGCCCAACGCGGAGCCCAAUGCUAGGCUUGAACUUGAAACCCUGAGAUCCCGAUGCUUAACCAACUGAGCUACCCAGGGCGCCCUAUGUGAUGCCAAUUCUUAAAUAAAACCCCCCCAAAACCCUGAAUAGGUAAAAAACAGAAUACAAUAAAAAUUAUCUGGUGGAUCGCAGAUAAUUUUUAUUUACUUGCCAGUGCUUUUCUGUGCUUUCUAGACUUUCUAAAAUGAACAUGUGAAUGAAAUUGCAACAAAACAACAAAAAACAAAUGUCUUUUUCGUUGACUAUUUUGUUAAAUUUUUUUGCCAUAUCUGUAGGUGUCACAAAACCGUUUUGUUUUGCUCACAAGUCUUGCUGCAGGAACCCAGACUCUUCUUUUCCUUGUAGCCUUUCUUUCUAGUAUUUAUCUCCCUCAUUCCUUUUAUCCUGGCUCAUUUUAGUGAUGUUUAGCUGCUCUCCUUGUUCUAACAUGCUGUCUUAAUCUGUCCUUCUGUACUGCUCGGUCCUCUGAUGGGUCCUUCAGCACUGAUCUGUUCUCUAUAUAGCAGAGUCCAAACUUGACAUUCAGGAUUGCCCUAAUGUACCCCUGUGCUCCAUAAACUAUUUGCUUCAGCCAUCUUUUCCCUCUUGAUCUAGCCUGAGCUGCUUUCAAGGCAGGAGCCAAGUUUCAGCCUACAUUGUGCAGGCUACCAUCACCUGAAUGUUCCAUUCCAAAGAAAUGGUUUUCUCAGAAUUCCAGUAGGAGUUACUUUGUUCUCUUCAUUUAACUCCUGGAUCAUUACCUGUUUUCAUGUAAUUUUUUAAAAAAGAUCGAUGCCAUCUUAUCACAGUAUUCCCAGCACUCAGCACCUACCAAAAGAUCGUACCCCAGUACCAGUAAAUACCACACACAAUACUUACACGUAUAUGCAUAUAUGAUUCUUUAUAAACACAUAGUUUACAAACGUGAAAUAUCCUCAUUGGUAGGGUUGGUGAUGAUAACUGUGUAUAGGUGAGCUGUUAAUAAGCAGCCACACGUUUAGUACUGAGGUCCGUUGCCUACUGGGGAUUUAGGGAAGUUGUGGAUGGAGCAGCUGGCAAAUUACCUAUCUCCACCUGCCGUCCACAGCCUCCACUGGAGUGCACAGGUGAGCGUGCCUGGUACAUGUGACAGCCUCCACGGGCCUGCUCAUUCUGGGGUGCGUUUGGGUUUUCACCAUUAGCAUUUGGUUUGUGCGGUGAAACUCAAGUUGACCUUUUGGACGCAGACUUCUGGAAGCUUUGGUUAGGUGCAAGAGCACGGAGCUCCCUGUGUUCCCAAACAAGCCUGCUCUGUGUGACAGCCACUUUGGAAUGUUUGUGUUCAGUUUCAUUUGGCACCUUAGUGUCUGCCUGGGGGAAGGGGAAAGGGAAUGCAAAUGUUCCUCUUGAACAGUGCUUGCUUUGGUCAAAGAAAAAACUUAAGAAGGAAUGAGGGGAAUGAACCUUAAUAAUAGCUAGAGCAAAAGUGGCUGCAUGGCUCAGUGGGCUUGAGGCCAGCUAGGAGCAGGUAUUUAAAUUGAUGCUGUUGAGAGGAGGAUGUCAUCCCUUGAUGGGGAUGAGUUGAUCAGAUAUGUGGGGAUAACUUGGAUAACGACUCCUUGCACUUACAUCCCUGUCUUCAGAGAGUACUGGGAGAAUAUUUGAAACCCCGUCAGUGCAUUGGGAUAGGGCAAGACUGCAUCCUGGCGGAGGGUUGCAGGUUUGAGCUAAUCACAGUGAAGUUGCCUGGUUUGUCCUUUUUUUUUUUUUUUUUUGCGGAUACAAAAAUACUGGAAUAUUUGAUUUUUUGAAAUUCUCAGAAAUCUUUUUAAUGUAUUCACGCAGGAAAUCAUAAUUGCUGACUUCUGCAUUAUUUACCAGGUACUGGCCACUUUAUACACACACUACAUUAUUUUACCCUCCUGGUGAGCUGGGGGAGGUGGUAUGAUGGUGGUGAAGGUCUUUUUAUGGGGAGGGGACUCUAAGUGCAGGUUCUGAGGGGCCAGGGGCUAGGAGAGCUGGUUUCUGCUGCUCGGCUGCUCCAGGGUGUUGUGGAAAUGGUGACCCGUGUAAACAGGUAGAACGAAGCAUGGGGUUCACAUGGAGUGAGAGUUGGGAACACAGUGAACACUGCAAGGAAAAGAGGGUGGAGGGGUUGUGUCAGAGAGGUGACAUUUGAGCUCAGAUUCUCAAGAAUUUGCCACAUGAGGGAAGGGGUUGAGACUUUGGGGGGGAGAUUGGCCUGUAUGAAGACACAGAGGCUUAAAAGAACUUUUGGGGGGAGCAAACAAGGCAUGGCAGGGAGAGGAAUGGAAGUUAAGGAUGAAGCUGGAGGCAGGGGAGGCUUUGGUGGGAGAGAAGGUGGAGGAGCUGGCCUUCCAGGCCAGGACAUCGAAUCCACUCUGUGAUUGGAGUUGCCCUGUGGCGUAGCAGGGACCUGGUAUUCUGGGACUUCACAGUGGCAAAGCAGCUGCAACAGGUUUGGGAAGAGGCUGGUACUUUAAGAGUCCUAGUCUCGAGUUGGUGGCUGACAGUGGUGAUUCAGCCCGAGGUGUUCAGAGGCCUCAGUUAACUGUCAGCAGAGGGAAGACUGGGAGUUUCAUUCGGGAAGCCUCUUGAGUUUCUCUUUUGGACCACCUUGGACCCCCAGCUAAAUGGUGGUUGUAUUUGUUGAAACAGCAGAUUGAGGGGUUGACAGGUGGGGAGAAGGAAGAAAAGGCCAUGAGGAGGUGAACAUGGGUUUGAGAUGCAGAGGAGAGGUCUGUUCUCGACAAUUUUCAGAACAGUUUGAGUACAUGGCCGGUAAUUGAAAAGGUGGGUGACGAGAAUGAGCGCCUGGAAAAUUGGAGAGAUGGGGGACUCUGGUUCCUGGGGAACCUCGUAAGGGUGGGCAACAACAGAGAAAGUUGACUUAACACUCAAAGGUAUAUAAAAACAAAACAAAAAUUUGGAGGGAGGGGAGCUGGAAAUUUGCAGGAAAAAUUGAAGCAAAAUAUUUUAAAGCACUUUUAGGGACAUAAAAGUGCAUUCUGUAUCUGCCUAGGUUAUAACAUAAUAGUGUUCAGCGUGCUUAUCCAUUUGAAAACCUGAGUGUGGGAAGGGAGCUUAGAAAAACCUAGGCAUAUAUAGUAUUUCCCAUACACUUUUUUGUUGUUGUUUUGGCUUUCAUCAAUUGUUUCUGGAAAUUGUUUUCCUCUACAGUUUGCAUUAAUUCCGGGACUUUGACUUCUCCAACUUUUCUUUUUCCAACCCUGUGCCUCGACUAGAGGGGAAAAUCAAGCUACCCUAAGAUUUGUAGAUGGGUUUGGGACUGAUAAAGAUGCUUGUGUUUUUGUAAGAAAAAAUUUCCUCAAGUUUUUUUUUUCUUUUUUUUUUUUUUUGGCGGAGGGGGGGAAUUUAUUUGGGUAGGGAGUAAGAUGAGCCUUUUGGCAGAUCCUUGAACUCCCCUCUUCUCUGGGUCAUAUUUUCUACUGAUUCAUUUAGUGCUUUCCUAAAAGUCUGCUGCCUUUGCUGCUCACUUGGAGAAAGUGUCCACCCUUGAAGAAGGAAAGGUGGUCUAGGAAUUUUAAGAAAAACAACCACCUGCGUUUGUAUUUCCCAUAGGUUUUAACCCUGCUGCACCCAUUAUGAUGCACGUUAAUGUAGAAUGCUGGAGGAAACAAGGAAAUAGCCGUAAUAAAUGCCAGUCACACCAGGAAGAUAGUUCCAAAUUCCAGGGUGUAAUACAGUAUUGUUACACAAAUUUAAAAUGCAGAAGGAAUGCUGAAGCAGCCUACCUCAGUCCUGUGGGCUCCUGCGAUUUUGCAAAGGUAUGAGAAAUCUGGGAGUCUGAAAAUUGAGGUACAUCUCACCCAUCCGUGCAAGUAAGAGACCAGUUUGUACCCUCAACUCCUUUGUUUCUCCUGAGUCAAGUUUUAAAUGAUGUUCCCCUGCUCUUCCUGACUCCUUAGGUCUGCAGAUAGGUGGCCAACAUUAUCCUAAGAGAAAGCCUAGAGAUUAAAAAAAAAAAUGGCUUUGCUUGAAUCCACAGGAUUCUGUUUUGUGAGAAUUUCUCUCCUGCCCACCUAUAGGAUGGGCAGUGGAGGCCUCCUGGGAGAAGGCACAGCACAGAAAGUGCUACCUUAUUACAGAAGUACCAGAAUUUCCAUUGUGCCAGAGGGGAAGUGCUACAGAAGUGUAAUUACUUUACCCAGCAUGUGUGAUUUACAGGACUUAAAAAUGUGUGAGUUUCCAAAGAGGCAUCUGUUUUUAAAUACUGUAUCCCUCUAAGCCAACAGGAUGUGUUUGGGGGCUGGAUAAGGGGUCUCUGUCUCUCUCACACUUUGACACGCACGCGUGCACACUUCCGUCCUGUGCCUGCUCAGGGAUGCUGGGUGACUGGAGACUGUAAACGUUGGUGAUUACUUCUCCUCAGGGCCUUGCUUAUCAACAGAAGGGAAUGCCUGAAGUACUGGAGUCCGGUAGGCCGCUUACCAGGCCAAGUCACUGGUCUGAUUCCGCCUUUCCCCCCUCCAGUCUAAGCCCCAUUCUUUCUCUUCCAGAGCCUCCUAGCCCUUUCCCAGUGAUGAGCAAAGGAACUGUUAGAGCUAACGAACAUGGAGAUCAUUUUUGUUGCAAAAAUUUCCUUUUCCGUCUUAAUAGGUGUAAGAAAAUUGGCCAGUUGAUCAGGUGCAUAUCCAAAGAUAAUCAAACUUGUAAAAGCCUGAAUGGAUUUUUUUGCACAUUAAGCAUUUAUGGAGUCGUGUCUACUGUUUUUAAAUGCUGUACUUGAACAAACCAAAUGAGGUGUUAUCAUCCCAUGGUUUAGGAAUAAGAAACUGAGGCUCUUGAGAGAUUAAGUAAUUUGUCUGAAGUUUUACUGCCAGUGGGUAAGAGCUUAAAAUUUUUCCAGUGGUGCACGAGGUUCAUGUGAUCUGGGCCCUGCUGGUUUCUGACCUCAUCUACCAGGAAUCACAGACUCAUUCAUUAUGCUUCAGCUGCUUGGGCCUUAUUUAGGUAUCUCCUACUUGCCAAACUUGUUCCUGCCUCAGGGCCUUUGUGCGUGCUAUCCUGUCUGCCUGAAAAACCGCUGCAUUCAGAUAUUUAUGAGGCAGCAGCAUCCUUGUCAUUCAUGGAGAUCUCAGUUCAGAUGUUACCCAGAGAAGUCUUUUGAUCUCUAAGUUUAAAGUACCCACAUUCCCAAUCACUAUCCUAUCCCUCUUUUAUUUUCCAGCUAGUUUUUAUUCACUGUUACUACCUUAUGUACUUGUCUUCUACCCCUGGAAUGUUACUCCUAGGCAGCAGGGAGCUCUGUCUUGUUAAGGCUGUAACUGUCAAUGUCUAUGACAAUGCCUGGAACUGCCCAAUAAAUUUGUUAAAUGACUGGAAUACGAAUGAAUCAGUCAAACUUGAGGCCUGUGCAAUGUAUCACGUAGUCCUAAAUGUUUUCCAGCAGUUUUGAAUUACAUUUUAAUUAUUACUACCUUCAGGAUCAUUUCUGGAUGCCUAUCCCCACUUAAUUAUAUCAGAAAGUCAGCACCUGCUUUUAAGCCAGAAAUUUAUAAAGUUUUUAUUUUAAUUCCAGCUAGUUAACAGUCUUAUAUUAGUUUCUAAGCCAGAAAUUUUAGAUGGUAAGUGAUUAGGUCCUUGGUGGGGGGUACUACGUAGCAGUUUUGCACACAUAAAGGAAUCCUUGCAUUUGUCCAGUUAGAAUGGAAACCUAGCACCUAAUUCCAUAGACCCAGGAGUGAGAUGUGGGCCUCACAUGGGGUGAUAAGUAAAAGUAGGGCAGGAUGAAUUGGAUUCCCGUUCUGCAGUUGUCUGUGGGGUUGUUAAGGGUUACUGUUAAUAACCCAGGUGGAAUUGAUCUGGAGAUAGACUUAGCACUCCAUCCUUUGAUUUAGUCUAGCCCCAAGCUCAAUAUGCUUUCCUCCUUUUGCCUACAAAGGGCAUAGCUCAGGAUAACACAGGCUUUAGCUGGACGAAUCCAGCCUUUAAGCACCUGUAUGGGUUGCCAUGAGGGACAGCCUAAUCUGGGCUUUGUGAACCUGUAUGGAGGAGGCAACCUGGAAACACAAUUUCUACCUACUUGGCAGCCUUACGGACUCAAAACUGUUUUUUAUUCACCGUAAAGCAGAACAGAUGACAUUUCAGGAAGAAAAAAAUGUAAGCCAUCAUUACUUUAGUCAUCAGACCGCCUGUUAAUUGAGCAUACUAAUGCACUGAUGAAAAUGCAGGCCGUUGGAUUUAUCCCCAUUUAUGGCAUUUGUGUCCUAAUGCUUGACCUUGAAAAACUUUCUUAAAUUUAACCAUCAUCUAUGGUCUAUUGGUCUUAGAGACAAUGGUAUAUAAAUACUCUUAUUAGUUCUUGACCAAAUCGAUACUUUACUUUUUUUUUUUAAUUAAAAAAUUUUUUUUAUUUGCUGAGGGACCUAGGACAAGUCUUUAAGCUGCUUGCGUAGACAUUUAAACUCCUUUCCUCAGCUAAAUUUUGGGGAUAGGACAGAUAACGCCUGCCGUGCCUGAGAAGAAUCGUAACUCCAGUGUUUCUGCUUCGUUCCCCUUCCGUUUCUGAAUCCUGGUAUAGAAUGCUGUUGUUGGGGGCUUGCUAGCCCAGUUCCAUCGGGGUUGGGGAGGGGGGGAGGUGGUUUUAAGCCUGAAAUUUUGUUUUGCUUUGUUGUUGUUUUUUACUAAGAAAGUCAGUGCUUCCCCUUGAAAAUGGGUGGGAGUUUCUGGGUGUGAGCUAACGGCAGGAAAUGACCCUCUCUAAACAAAAGGACUUUUUAAGGCCCAUCCUGAGUCUUUGUGUUUUGAGGAGGGGUUAUGCAGAAAACCUGAGCUAGGAAAUGAAUCUCUGCUUUAGCCAUCCUCAUGGGGGAGGGGCGGAAGGAGAAGAUCCCUUGCCUGCUUGCCCUCCCAAGUGUCCCAGGUGCCAGUCGGUACCUGCUCUGAGUGCCAGAGCGGUUUAAGAGUAGGGCCUGGUGUGGCUCUUUGGGAUAGUGUGGCUUCAUACCUCCAAGAGGCAAGAAGGGAUCAGGUUAGGCAGAAUUACACGCAGUGUGACAUUCACCUUUAAUCUGGACUCUUGAAAAACCACCACCAGCAAAAUGCAGAAAGAGAAUGAGGAAAGGGGGAGAAACAAUUUUUGUAUGAUCUAUGUCUCCGUCCGGACCCUAUUUGUCAGUGGUCUCCCUCUGGAUAUCAAACCUCGGGAGCUCUAUCUGCUUUUCAGACCAUUUAAGGGCUACGAGGGUUCUCUUAUAAAGCUCACAUCUAAGCAGCCCGUAGGUUUUGUCAGUUUUGACAGUCGCUCAGAAGCAGAAGCUGCAAAGAAUGCUUUGAAUGGCAUCCGCUUCGAUCCUGAAAUUCCGCAAACACUACGACUAGAGUUUGCUAAGGCAAACACGAAGAUGGCCAAGAACAAACUAGUAGGGACUCCAAACCCCAGUACUCCUCUGCCCAACACUGUACCUCAGUUCAUUGCCAGAGAGCCAUAUGAGCUCACAGUGCCUGCACUUUACCCCAGUAGCCCUGAAGUGUGGGCCCCGUACCCUCUGUACCCAGCGGAGUUAGCGCCUGCUCUACCUCCUCCUGCUUUCACCUAUCCCGCUUCACUGCAUGCCCAGGUUCCCAGCCCCCCACCUGCCCCGGGGCUGUGUCCCAGUCCUGUCCUUUACCACCUGUCUCAGGAAGGCAGCUCCAACUCUGCCCUUUGCUUAGUGAGCAAGUGGAUUCAGAUGCACAAAGCCAUAAGCCAUGGAUGCGCUGGCUCCCUCCCUCCGAGGCUACUUCUCAGGGCUGGAAGUCCCGUCAGUUCUGCUGAAUACUAUGUUCCAGGUGUGUGAUGGUGGCUGCGAUCUGUCUUGUGGGUGUUAAUGCCAUCUUCGGCGGUGGCGACCGUACUCGAGCUGUUCCACGAAACUGGAGCGUGCCGGCUUGAACAAAGCUUGCCCAGUUUUGAUCCCUUCAAGACUUUGCCACAGCCUCUAUCACACAUCUGUUUUUCUCGAAGAAAAAGAUAUAAUAAAAAUGUUUUACUCUUUUACACUGUAUAAUUUUAAGAUAUAGUGUGUUAUUCGUGAACGCAUGGUCUGACCUUUCUGUACAGUUUGGAGAUAUUUUCAAACGAAACAUAAAAGAUGUCAAUAAAACCAAGAGAGUGAGUA